rnacentral:rRNA from 1 species
UACGUAGGUGGCAAGCGUUGUUCGGAAUUACUGGGCGUAAAGGGCCCGUAGGCGGCCAACUAAGUCCGACGUGAAAUCCCAAGGCUUAACCUUGGAACUGCGUCGGAUACUGGAUGGCUUGAAUUCGGGAGAGGGAUGCAGAAUUCCAGGUGUAGCGGUGAAAUGCGUAGAUAUCUGGAGGAGUACCGGUGGCGAAGGCGGCCAGCUGGGCCGUUGCUGACGCUGAGGCGCGACAGCGUGGGGAGCAAACGGG